AUUGAACGCUGGCGGCAGGCCUAACACAUGCAAGUCGAGCGAGCGGCGGACGGGUGAGUAAUGUCUGGGAAACUGCCUGAUGGAGGGGGAUAACUACAGGAAACGGUAGCUAAUACCGCAUAUCAUCUGAUGUGCCCACAUGGGAUUAGCUAGUAGGUGGGGUAACGGCUCACCUAGGCGACGAUCCCUAGCUGGUCUGAGAGGAUGACCAGCCACACUGGAACUGAGACACGGUCCAGACUCCUACGGGAGGCAGCAGUGGGGAAUAUUGCACAAUGGGCGCAAGCCUGAUGCAGCCAUGCCGCGUGUGUGAAGAAGGCCUUCGGGUUGUAAAGCACUUUCAGCGGGGAGGCGUUACCCGCAGAAGAAGCACCGGCUAACUCCGUGCCAGCAGCCGCGGUAAUUC
rnacentral:rRNA from 1 species